UACGAAGGGGGCUAGCGUUGCUCGGAAUCACUGGGCGUAAAGCGCACGUAGGCGGAUCUUUAAGUCAGGGGUGAAAUCCCGGGGCUCAACCCCGGAACUGCCUUUGAUACUGGGUGUCUUGAGUCCGGAAGAGGUGAGUGGAAUUGCGAGUGUAGAGGUGAAAUUCGUAGAUAUUCGCAGGAACACCAGUGGCGAAGGCGGCUCACUGGUCCGGUACUGACGCUGAGGUGCGAAAGCGUGGGGAGCAAACAGG
rnacentral:rRNA from 1 species